GCUCCGUAGGUGAACCUGCGGAGGGAUCAUUACAGAGUUCAUGCCCUACCGGGUCGAUCUCCCACCCUAUGUUAUUAUUACUUUGUUGCUUUGGCGGGCCGUUAGGCUCCGGCCCGACUACCGGCCCCGGCUGGUAAGCGCCCGCCAGAGGACCCAAAACCCUAAAUAUUAGUGUCGUCUGAGUACUAUAUAAUAGUUAAAACUUUCAACAACGGAUCUCUUGGUUCUG
rnacentral:misc_RNA from 1 species